GUGGGGAAUAUUGGACAAUGGGCGAAAGCCUGAUCCAGCAAUGCCGCGUGAGUGAUGAAGGCCUUAGGGUUGUAAAGCUCUUUUACCCGGGAUGAUAAUGACAGUACCGGGAGAAUAAGCUCCGGCUAACUCCGUGCCAGCAGCCGCGGUAAUACGGAGGGAGCUAGCGUUGUUCGGAAUUACUGGGCGUAAAGCGCACGUAGGCGGCUUUGUAAGUUAGAGGUGAAAGCCUGGAGCUUAACUCCAGAACUGCCUUUAAGACUGCAUCGCUUGAAUCCAGGAGAGGUGAGUGGAAUUCCGAGUGUAGAGGUGAAAUUCGUAGAUAUUCGGAAGAACACCAGUGGCGAAGGCGGCUCACUGGACUGGUAUUGACGCUGAGGUGCGAAAGCGUGGGGAGCAAACAGGAUUAGAUACCCGAGUAGUCC
rnacentral:rRNA from 1 species